rnacentral:ncRNA from 1 species
AAAAAAUGUUGGUAAAACAACAUUUUUGUAUAUAGAUUUACAACGACCAUCAACAAACAAUCAAUUCAGAACUGGCACGGACCAGGGGAAUCCGACUGUCUAAUUAAAACAAAGCAUUGUGAUGGCUCUAACGGGUGUUGACACAAUGUGAUUUCUGCCCAGUGCUCUGAAUGUCAAUGUGAAGAAAUUCAAGAAAGCGCGGGUAAACGGCGGGAGUAUACUAUGACUCCCCCUCGGCAUUUUGGUUAGCAUAAAAUAACCACCCGCAAUGUCCAAUCCCCC